rnacentral:rRNA from 1 species
CUACGGGGGGCUGCAGUGGGGAAUAUUGGACAAUGGGGGAAACCCUGAUCCAGCAAUGCCGCGUGUGUGAAGAAGGCCUGCGGGUUGUAAAGCACUUUCGGUUGGAAGGACUGCUUCUAGCACUAAUAUUGUUGGAAGUUGACGUUACCUUCAGAAGAAGCACCGGCUAACUCCGUGCCAGCAGCCGCGGUAAAUACGGAGGGUGCAAGCGUUAAUCGGAAUUACUGGGCGUAAAGCGCGCGUAGGCGGCUAGAUCAGUCGGGUGUGAAAGCCCCGGGCUUAACCUGGGAACUGCAUCCGAUACUGUCUAGCUUGAGUACAGGAGAGGAGAGUGGAAGUCCACAUGUAGCAGUGAAAUGCGUAGAUAUGUGGAGGAACACCAAUGGCGAAGGCAGCUCUCUGGCCUGAUACUGACGCUGAGGUGCGAAAGCGUGGGGAGCAAACAGGAUUAGAUACCCGGGUAGUC